AAUGAAAAUUCAGCCACUGCAUGUUUCAAACAAGUAUUUGCUGUGUUGCCAAAGUAGAAAGAGCAGAAGGGAAACAUCAUGGGAAGAAAGACUAUUUUGUUUCUGAUUGCAGGGGUCCUUGGGGCAUAUUAUGUUUAUACUCCUCUCUCAGAUAAUAUUGAGGAACUCUGGUGACUGGUGUGGAUAGCUACACCUGUGAAAAUGGUAACAAAUUUGCUUUGUUUAAUUAUGACUUUCUGUCAAGAUGAACAGCUGAUAGACUUAAUGCUGUUGUUGUAUCAACCAACUCAUAGAAGACCCAGAUGUCAAGAUCAAACUCAAGCUUCAGUCUUUAAUAUAUCCUGCCCUUCAGACGCUUGACAUGGAUUUACUAUCACAUCAGAAAAAACUAGACUCUCUAGUUCUGUCCAAACCAUUCAUGGUCAGGUUCUGUAGGGAAUACUUUACCACAGACAGAUCACUUGAAAAAGUCAUGUUCUUCAACAUGUACCAAUGGAAUCAAACCAUCUGUUCAGAUUUGUUAAUUGGAGUUCCUUGCUCACUGAGAAGUUUAAGAAAGGCCACUUUUGUUAUAUUCCAACUCGUGGUAGUUCUGAGCUAGCUAAAAAAUAUCCAGGGUUCCUAGAUGUGAGGGCAGCCCCUUUGUUGGCCAAUGACAAGUUACAUGGUUUACCCCUGUCCUAUAUCAUCACCUGUCAAUAUGACAUCUUAAGAGAUGAUGGACUCAUGUACAUCACGCGACUUUAGAACUCUGGAGUUCAAGUGACACAUAACCACAGUGAAGAUGGAUUCCAUGGAGCACUUUCCUAUAAUGGGCUUAAAAUUGAGUAUGGAAUAGAAAAUCAGUAUAUGAGUUGGCUAAGUGAAAAUCUAUAGUAAAAAUGUAAGCAAUGGUUUAUUUAAAAUGUAUAAGGCUCAGAACAGGAAACAAAUUAGUGAAAAUCAAAGGGUUGAUGUUUGAAUUGGUCUUUAUCAUCUGUGACCUUUCUAAGGUCCUCAUAGCCAUAGUGGGUUUUGGUUUUGUUUUUAUUUAUUGGCCGCUAGCAAAUUCUUCUCCAUUUUAUUUAUUAUCCUGUUAUUCACUCACUUCUGUGAAGAUACUUUAGUAUUUUCUUCUGCUACCAUUACUCACUUGUUAAAUCUCUAGUUUACAGCUAUAGUUUUUUGAUUGCCGAAUAGUAUUACAGAUGAGAAGAAAGUUUUAAACAAACACGUCUGAUUUGUAAAAUGCCAGUUUUAGUCAACAUGAAUUUAGAGACUUAAAAUGUUUCCCUGUGAGAACUGAUAUGAAAUAUGUGCCAUCUCUUUUAAAAAGCAUUUGCCUCAAUAUAAUGCUGUUUGCCUGUCACUGUAAAAUUUGCUUCUUAAUACAGAUCUCUUCCAGUACUAGGAUACCAACA
ensembl:lncRNA AADACP1 arylacetamide deacetylase pseudogene 1